rnacentral:rRNA from 1 species
UACGAAGGGGCUAGCGUUGUUCGGAAUUACUGGGCGUAAAGCGCACGUAGGCGGAUUUGUAAGUCAGGGGUGAAAUCCCGGGGCUCAACCUCGGAACUGCCUUUGAUACUGCAAGUCUCGAGUCCGAUAGAGGUGAGUGGAAUUCCUAGUGUAGAGGUGAAAUUCGUAGAUAUUAGGAAGAACACCAGUGGCGAAGGCGGCUCACUGGAUCGGUACUGACGCUGAGGUGCGAAAGCG